AAAUGGAUCAUUUCCAUGGAAAACUCCAUCAACUUCAACAAUUUUCUUGCUAAAUAGAUAAUUACGUGAAUUUUGCUACAAAUCUGUGAGGGAGUGUAGCAGGAUGUCGCAAGCUGCGCUGUUAAUAAUUACUCAGAGGCAGAUUUUCUUUAAUGCAAGCGUAUAUUGGAUCACACCAAUCAUCAAACAUAAACAAUUAAUGCAAAAAGUGUUGGGUGUGCUGGAGCACCCCAACUAACAUUUAAUGCACACUAAUUACCAUUACAAGCAAAUCACACAAUCCUAGGGCAAUCCCAAGCUCCCUGACAGAGGUUAAGUGACUUCCCCUAGCCAAAGAGCAGACAUUGUUGUUGUUGUUGUCAUUGUCCAGUGGUUCUCUCUAGCCAAUGGUUGGACGACAGGGAAUGAUGGCGUCAUCUGAGGAUGGAUAUCAAGGUGGCCAGUCUCACUGAUGUCCUAGAAGCAGCCUCUUGAUGUGGUGGACAAGCGAUUUAAACAUAACCAAGUUGGUGAUUGGUUACACCCAGUGAAAGUCAAUGUCCAUUGGUUAUGUCCAGUGAGAUGAUGUAAUUGCAAUAGGGCAUGUUCUUUGCACAUGUCCAUGGAACUGUGCUUCCUAUCGAUUGUAACCAGUCAUUGUUAAGUAUGCCUAUGGCUAGUGAC
rnacentral:lncRNA from 1 species